rnacentral:lncRNA from 1 species
CUUCUAGCUGAGUCAGCAGGUCUUGAAAGAGCCUCGGCUGAGGCUUUCUCCUGUAACUUCUUAGACUCAAGACAAAAAAGGAGGUCUUCUAGCAGAUCAUAUCCCAGCCUUGAAAUCCAGGAGAAUGGAUACUCCAGAGACUGCCAUGGUGCACUUGGAGGGACAUCAAGUUCUCGGCAUUGCCAGAGCCCAAGAGUGGCACUAUGUUGCCUUGUUGGUGUAGGUGUUGGAGGAAGUCUGUCACUGUAGGAUUGGGCCUUGAGACCCUCCUCCGAGCUUCUGAUGGAUGAAGAUGUAGAACUCUCAGCUCCUCCAAUUCCAUACCUGCCUGGAUCCUGCCAUGCUUCCUUUUAUGAUGAUAAUGGACCAAACUUCUUAACCUCUUCUGGUACUUCUGAUGAAGUAGAAGCCCCCCCCCCCCCGCCUCCAACUGUUCUCAGCAGCAGGAGGCAAGGCUGUUGUCUGUCUGCACUCCUGGAAGCCCCAUGGGACUGUUGCUGAUAUGAGUGGUGAGUCACUCUGAGCCACAUUUGGUACAGAAGUAUCAGACAUGACUCACAGGCAUAUGGAAACCUUAUUCAUCUCUACCUUCCUUUGGUCCCUAAUCCUUUGUAAUGCCUACUUUUAUGAUGUAACUGCAGGGGAAUUAAGCUUGGGCAGCAAAAUGAUGUAAUUAAUUUAACUCAGUUUCAAUUAAAGUCUUCCAGUAGUGUGA